AGGGCCUUAGCUCAGUUGGUAGAGCGCUUGUUUUACACGCAAGAUGUCAACGGUUCGAGUCCGUUAGGCCCUA
rnacentral:tRNA from 1 species